CACAGAAGAUUUUGUGGUGAUAACAACAACUUAUGACCACGGACCCUUCUGUAUC
rnacentral:pre_miRNA from 1 species